rnacentral:lncRNA from 1 species
UGGCCGACCGACGUAAGUUUGUGCGUAAUAUGAAACUUCGCACAGAACUCUCUGAAAUUUUGGUUGUCAAAUUAUCGACCAUUGUCAGUGAUGAUGGUGUGCGGCAAAUCAAAUCUGUAAAUGAUAGAUUUUUGAAUGAAGUCUUCCAUCUUGCUUUCAGUGAUUUGUGCCAGAGGUUCAGCUUCCACCCAUUUGGUAAAGUAAUUGAUGGCGAUCACUAUGAAUUUCUUCUUGUUGUGGCCAACUCCCCGUUGCCUGUCGUUGGUAUCGAGCACCUGCAAGACAGCGUCCACAC